AGGAGCCUGUGGCCAUCAGGCAAGGGAAUUUCUCGCUAGAUGAAGUGAGGUCCUCUCCUCUACACAAUGCCAAGUUCUCUAUUUGAAAACUGAAGUGCAAAACAGCUAGAGCAUGCUGCUGGGCGAAAGUGGAACAGAACAAACAUCAGCAGAG